rnacentral:rRNA from 1 species
GAACGAUGAAGCCAGCUUGCUGGUGGAUUAGUGGCGAACGGGUGAGUAACACGUGAGUAACCUGCCCUUGACUCUGGGAUAAGCCUGGGAAACCGGGUCUAAUACUGGAUACGACCUUCUGGCGCAUGCCAUGUUGGUGGAAAGCUUUUGUGGUUUUGGAUGGACUCGCGGCCUAUCAGCUUGUUGGUGGGGUAAUGGCCUACCAAGGCGACGACGGGUAGCCGGCCUGAGAGGGUGACCGGCCACACUGGGACUGAGACACGGCCCAGACUCCUACGGGAGGCAGCAGUGGGGAAUAUUGCACAAUGGGCGCAAGCCUGAUGCAGCGACGCCGCGUGAGGGAUGAAGGCCUUCGGGUUGUAAACCUCUUUCAGUAGGGAAGAAGCCGGCUUUUGGGUUGGUGACGGUACCUGCAGAAGAAGCGCCGGCUAACUACGUGCCAGCAGCCGCGGUAAUACGUAGGGCGCAAGCGUUAUCCGGAAUUAUUGGGCGUAAAGAGCUCGUAGGCGG